UUGCAGGAGGUGUCCUGCAUUGACACUCGCGGCGGCCGUGGCCGUUGGUCAGCGCGGGCGCGCCCCCGGUGGCCGGGCAGCGGCCGGGGCCUUGGCAGGUGGAGGCGCGGGUGGGCCAGGGGUGGGGCCCGCGCCCGGGGGCUGUCGGCGCGCGCCGCGCCCUCGCCCUCGCCCCCCGGGAUGCGGACCGGUGGUCCUCGAAGCCGGUCAGUGGCGACCGAGCGGCUGGCUUUGCCCCGCUCGCAGGAACGUGGUUUUAAAUCUCAGUAUUAAAAAAAAAACCACACGCUGGUCUCGAGUUUUGGUGAAAGAAAAUGGGCGGGCGUGCUGUGCGGGGCCCUUCCCUCUCCGGCGCGAGGACCGGGCUCCGCGUUAGGGGGAAAGCAGCAUCGAAACUGAAGCUCUUGCGUGGGCAAUCGGGGUGCGCGCGCGCGCAGGCCCGUAAGGAGGCGGCCAGUGUGGCCCAGAGCGAGUUGAGGGCUAGCUUAGGAGUGCUUCAGUCCUGCCAGCGCGCUCUGAGGCUUUCCGGACCUGGACUUCGAAAUGAGCCCCCUGGCACGACCGCCCGCAGUGCCUUCCACCGACUUCACAGAGUUGUACGUGUUUUAAAUCAGGCCCCUGGAAGAGAAGGUAACAGGAGCCACCCCACUCGUGAGUUGAGACUGUCCCCAGGUGUUUGGCAUGUCCUGGCUGUGUACUCAGUGGCCAAGCGCCCUCCAGUUUGGAGUUGA
rnacentral:lncRNA from 1 species